rnacentral:rRNA from 1 species
AUGCUUAACACAUGCAAGUCGAACGGUAACAUAGCUAGCUUGCUAGCUGAUGACGAGUGGCGGACGGGUGAGUAAUGCAUAGGAAUCUGCCUAUUAGUGGGGGACAACCUGUGGAAACGCAGGCUAAUACCGCAUAAGCCCUACGGGGGAAAGCGGGGGAUCUUCGGACCUCGCGCUAAUAGAUGAGCCUAUGUCAGAUUAGCUAGUUGGUGAGGUAAUGGCUCACCAAGGCGACGAUCUGUAGCUGGUCUGAGAGGAUGAUCAGCCACACUGGGACUGAGGCACGGCCCAGACUCCUACGGGAGGCAGCAGUGGGGAAUAUUGGACAAUGGGCGAAAGCCUGAUCCAGCAAUACCGCGUGUGUGAAGAAGGCCUGAGGGUUGUAAAGCACUUUCAAUAGUGAGGAAUACCUGGGGGUUAACACUCCCCAGACUGACAUUAGCUAUAGAAGAAGCACCGGCUAACUCCGUGCCAGCAGCCGCGGUAAUACGGAGGGUGCAAGCGUUAAUCGGAAUUACUGGGCGUAAAGCGUGCGUAGGCGGCUUGUUAAGUUAGAUGUGAAAGCCCCGGGCUCAACCUGGGAACUGCAUUUAAAACUGGCGAGCUAGAGUUGAGUAGAGGGGAGUGGAAUUUCAGGUGUAGCGGUGAAAUGCGUAGAGAUCUGAAGGAACACCAGUGG